GACGAACGCUGGCGGCAUGCCUAAUACAUGCAAGUCGAACGCUGAAGCACUCUGCUUGCAGAGUGCGGAUGAGUGGCGAACGGGUGAGUAACACGUGGGAAAUCUGCCUAUAAGAGGGGGAUAACAUUCGGAAACGGAUGCUAAUACCGCAUAUAUUCUUGGACCGCCUGGUCCUUGAAAGAAAGACGGCUUUGCUGUCGCUUAUAGAUGAUCCCGCGGCGUAUUAGUUAGUUGGUGGGGUAAAGGCCUACCAAGACAAUGAUACGUAGCCGACCUGAGAGGGUGAUCGGCCACACUGGGACUGAGACACGGCCCAGACUCCUACGGGAGGCAGCAGUAGGGAAUCUUCCACAAUGGGCGAAAGCCUGAUGGAGCAAUGCCGCGUGAAUGAAGAAGGUCUUCGGAUCGUAAAGUCCUGUUAUUAGAGAAGAACAAGUCAAGGAGUAACUGUCUUGACUUUGACGGUACCUAACCAGAAAGUCACGGCUAACUACGUG
rnacentral:rRNA from 1 species